rnacentral:rRNA from 1 species
GACGAACGCUGGCGGCGUGCCUAAUACAUGCAAGUCGAGCGAGACUCUUCGGAGUCUAGCGGCGGACGGGUGAGUAACACGUGGGCAACCUGCCUGUAAGACUGGGAUAACACCGGGAAACCGGUGCUAAUACCGGAUAAUCCUUUUCCUCUCAUGAGGGAAAGCUGAAAGUCGGUUUCGGCUGACACUUACAGAUGGGCCCGCGGCGCAUUAGCUAGUUGGUGAGGUAACGGCUCACCAAGGCGACGAUGCGUAGCCGACCUGAGAGGGUGAUCGGCAAGACGGGGACUGAGACACGGCCUAGACUCCUACGGGAGGCAGCAGUAGGGAAUCUUCCACAAUGGACGAAAGUCUGAUGGAGCAACGCCGCGUGAGCGAUGAAGGCCUUCGGGUCGUAAAGCUCUGUUGUUAGGGAAGAAUAAGUACCGGAGUAACUGCCGGUACCUUGACGGUACCUAACCAGAAAGCCACGGCUAACUACGUGCCAGCAGCCGCCGUAACAC